AAGAGCAUUGCGCGCCUGACGAGUCCAUGAGGGACGAAACGCAUUAGCGUCGCGCGGAGUAUCCCC
rnacentral:hammerhead_ribozyme from 1 species